rnacentral:rRNA from 1 species
UACGUAGGGAGCAAGCGUUGUCCGGAAUCAUUGGGCGUAAAGCGCGCGUAGGUGGCCCGGUAAGUCCGCUCUGAAAGUCACAGGCUCAACCUGUGAAAGCGGGUGGAUACUGCCGGGCUAGAGUCCGGAAGAGGCGAGUGGAAUUCCCGGUGUAGCGGUGAAAUGACGCAGAUAUCGGGAGGAACACCAAUGGCGAAGGCAGCUCGCUGGGACGUGACUGACGCUGAGACGGCGAAAGCGUGGGGAGCAAACAGG